rnacentral:rRNA from 1 species
CGUGAGAUGUGGGGUUAAGUCCCGCAACGAGCGCAACCCUUGUCCCUAGUUGCUACGCAAGAGCACUCUAGGGAGACUGCCGGGGAAACUCGGAGGAAGGUGGGGAUGACGUCAAAUCAUCAUGCCCCUUAUGUCUUGGGCUACACACGUGCUACAAUGGUCGGUACAAAGAGAAGCGAUACCGCAAGGGGGAGCAAAUCUUAAAAACCGGUCCCAGUUCGGAUUGCAGGCUGCAACUCGCCUGCAUGAAGUCGGAGUUGCUAGUAAUCGCAGAUCAGAAUGCUGCGGUGAAUGCGUUCCCGGGUCUUGUACACACCGCCCGUCACACCAUGGAAGUUGGGGACGCCCGAAGUUGGUCGACAAUAGAUUACCUAAGGCGAAAUCAAUGACUGGGGUGAAGUCGUAACAAGGUAGCCGUAUCGGAAGGUGCGGAUGGAUCACCUCCUU